rnacentral:sRNA from 1 species
UUUUAGCCCUGAUAGCAACGGAAAUCCUUUUAUGUUUUUUCUUAAAAACAUAAAAGAUUGUAGUGAAUAGCAGGAAUAGCU